CCAAGAGAACAACCACCUGGAAGGUGAUAUGCAUGGGAACUGUUGAAUUAUGACCUGAACCUCUCGUUGACCACCUGAGGCAAGCACUGAGUCAGCCACGGGAGCACAGGUGAAGGCAAUUCAGCUGUGUGACCAGAAGGGGUGGAGCCUGGCUGCACCUCUCCUAGACCCAAUUUAAGGGCUGACUGCCACUGAGGAAGGAUCUUUUCCUGGAGGUUGCUCCUUGUGGAGUUUUUGUAAGCCUACGACACUGCAGAUUAAUCGAUCAUCUGAAUGCGAAGAGGACUAGGUAAAAUUCUGUGCUGUUGGAUACCUUUGCCCUCAGCUGCACUCUGCCUGGUUCCAUGGCCUCAUCCAGAUGAUGCACAUCAUUAGGUAUGAGAAGCUUGCAGCCAGCAUGGUCAGUAGGGCUCCUGUUGGCUGGCAUCCAUCACUAUGUGUUAUGAAGAUGGAAGAAGCUUCAGAACAAGCAAAACUUGAAUAGACACCAGCCUGCAGUCUGUAUUGGUGUCUUCGGCACAGCAAACCAGCUUCCCAGAGGAGGGCUGGACCCUUUCCAAGCCAGGCUUCAGUAACAUGGGAAAUGGAAGGAACGAUAAGAAAGAAAACAGUGCUGAGAGCAGACUGUAGAAUACAGAUCUACAGAUAGUGUAGAUUCUGCUGGUACCAUGGAUGUUAAUGGCUCAUCAGGACAUCGUCCUCCUCCAGACCCAGCCAGAACCAAAUGUUGCUUCUUUUACAAGUUCAAAUCUAAAUUUGUGAUCACUUACAGAAUCACUCCUGAGGUACAACACAGAUUCAGCCUGCAAAAGGCACUGACCACAGUCAUUCUCCUUGCUUCCAUCCUUCACUCCAGCCUUUUGAUCCAUCGCUGUCCCAAGUGUCCCAUCUUAAUGUUCCUAGGCCAGCUCCAACACCCUUCAUGUCCCACUGCUGUGAUGCAGUUUCUUCCCAUUUCUCCUGUCCUCACAGUGGGUGAGUGUAUUGAUAAAAACAGGUGAG
rnacentral:lncRNA from 1 species